rnacentral:telomerase_RNA from 1 species
UAAGCUUGUAAAUUUGAAAAUAUUAAGAAGCUGCGUUAUUUGGAUGUGGUAGAUGUAAAUGCAAAUAAUCACAAAACUAACAAAACUCUUUGAUAAAUGGGUGUUUCUUGUCCGUAAGUUCAUCCACACCAAAAAUGUAAUGGACAGCUCGCAGCUUUUUUUU